UGGGGAAUAUUGCACAAUGGGCGAAAGCCUGAUGCAGCGACGCCGCGUGAGGGAUGACGGCCUUCGGGUUGUAAACCUCUUUCAGUAGGGACGAAGCGCAAGUGACGGUACCUGCAGAAGAAGCACCGGCUAACUACGUGCCAGCAGCCGCGGUAAUACGUAGGGUGCGAGCGUUGUCCGGAAUUACUGGGCGUAAAGAGCUCGUAGGCGGUUUGUCACGUCGUCUGUGAAAUCCUAGGGCUUAACCCUGGACGUGCAGGCGAUACGGGCUGACUUGAGUGCUACAGGGGAGACUGGAAUUUCUGGUGUAGCGGUGGAAUGCACAGAUAUCAGGAAGAACACCGAUGGCGAAGGCAGGUCUCUGGGUAGUAACUGACGCUGAGGCGCGAAAGCAUGGGUAGCGAACAGG
rnacentral:rRNA from 1 species